rnacentral:rRNA from 1 species
CCUACGGGAGGCAGCAGUGAGGAAUUUUGGACAAUGGGCGAAAGCCUGAUCCAGCAAUGCCGCGUGCAGGACGAAGGCCUUCGGGUUGUAAACUGCUUUUGUACGGAACGGAAAGACACUGGCUAAUAUCUGGUGUUGAUGACGGUACCGUAAGAAUAAGCACCGGCUAACUACGUGCCAGCAGCCGCGGUAAU